GCCUCCUCGCGCACUCGCGCCCGCUCCUCCCGCACGCUCGCCGCGCCCUCGCCUCUCUCUUUCUCCCUCCAAACCCUGCCACGCGCCCGCCUCCCUGCCCCGCCGCCGCUCGCCCGGGCACCCAUCCAUGGCCUCACGCCCAGCCGUCUCCUUCUCCUAUCCCAAACCUAGCCGCCGCAUCGCCUCGUUCCAGCUCUCUUCCCCUCUCUCGAUCGAUCUCCUCUUCAAACCCUAGAUGGCGCCCGCUCGCUCCCUUCCACGCCGCCGCCGCUCGCUGUGCUCCCCGUCCAGCCGUGCCUUCCACGCCGCUGCCGCUCGCUGUGCUCCUCAUACACGGGCAACACAAGAAGGCCGUAGCGGGAGCAAGGCUCACGAUCUCUGCCUUCACAACGGCUCUAGAGCCCCGACGAGGCGAGGUGGUCUCUCUCCAUUUCCCCCCCCCCACCACCCUCUCACCCGUCCUACUUCUUCUACGUAUUUUGACUUUUGUUUUCCUACAGAUUGGUCCGUUUGGUCGAUCCCCUCGGUUCUAUGUUCGAUUUGUGUCAGGCAGCCUCGUCUUCGUCCAAGAAUCUGCAGGUGUGUGUGUUGUUGAGGCUAGCAAACAAGCCAAUGGCAUUGCAUAAAUGCUUGCAUGUGCCAUCAGUGAGUGGUCUUGCGGAGUUGCAGGACUGGGCAGGAGGACCGUAGGCUGCACACACAGACGAGGAUGUCGAGUUGUCCACUGCGAAAGGAGUGUCGACCGCGAAUACAAAGAGGAGGUUGAGAGAUCGCCAUUCAUCUAGGCUCCGCAGGAGGAGCGCAUGCUAUAGAGAUGGACGAUGAGGCUAGCCAUCCAUUUUGCAUCAACACUCUUUUCACCUCGUCUGGCCAUCCCUCCACCAGGCUUCUUCAAUGGGCAAGAAGAAUAACAUGGAGAGAAGUCUUCCACUGACUGAUUUAACAUCUGUCAUGCACAGGUCGACAAAUCUAUAGAAAUCUAGAGUUCGCCAAAGCUGGUCACGCUGUCGCAGAUCGGUUCAUGAUCGCGUGGGGGCAUCCUCUGGAGCUUCCCUGAGGUGCUAGAUACGUUAAGCUGGAACAAAAACAACCAGAGACAUGGUCCUUGUUGCUACACAGCUCACACAAGUGUAGCAGACGCACGUCGUCAGGGCAAGGAGCAAACGCUGGAUGCGAGGGAGCAGCAGAUGGUGCGCUGGUUGCGGCCUGUGGUAGAAUUGGCGUCAGGAACCGGCAAGAUGGCGGCCGUGCGCGGAGGUAGGCCAAACAUGGUGGAUCUCGCCGCGGCCAUCAAAAGGAGACGUGCGGCAGUUUGAGGCAGAAGAACGCAGAGGUCGGCUAAGUGCAGCUGUUGUGGAAGGAAUUCGCCGGGCCGCCGCCUUGGAGCGAUUGGAGAAGAUCCAGAUUGAGAAAUUGAUAUUUUAGCAAAGGUCUGCUUUGGCUGAGGGGUCAGUUGCAAAUUCGCAAGAGCGGCUGCCGGUGUGUUUUUGUAGAUUCGUGUUACUUUUGAUCCCAUGCAUGAGAUCUUAAUCGGCUGGCCGAGGAGUCGCGGGAUAUAGGGAUGCAUGAGCCAUUGAUAUUCAUCAAACACAUAAUUUGAAUAGAGCUUGUGAAAAAAUGCCCAUAGAAAUAGUCACUUUGGAUUGGUUGUGUCAAAAGGAUGCAACAUUUGUAACAUUUCUUCUCAUAUUCAUGAGACUUUCACUCUGUUGUUGCAUUAGUCAAGUUCAAUUUCAUUACAUAUGUGUGCAUGUAUCAGUUUUCAUAUGUAAAGUGAUAUAUUUAAGAGUUAUGAGAAAUUUUGCCAAAUUUGAUGGGCAC